GACCAAUUGCUCGUUCUUCGAGCCAUCAGCUUCAAUGUGGAAUGAAUUGAAGAUCUGUAACAAGGCUUGGCCUACACCAUGGACAAACAGUGGACACCCAGAGAGCUAAAUGUCUCCUACCGGCUAAGACAAGGAAACCCACUCAGAUCGACCUCUUGUGGAUCAAACAGACUCUAUCCAGGUAAGUACACCUGCCAAUCACUAAGUUCCUGUAGGAGGCUGUAGCCUCCCCUUUAGGCUGCCCAAGCCGCACCUUAAAGAUGGCGCCCACUGGAUGCAGAGCUGGUGGUGUAAAUGAGUCCAUAUUCGGUGGAGACAUGCCCCU